rnacentral:rRNA from 1 species
GAUGAACGCUGGCGGCGUGCCUAAUACAUGCAAGUCGAGCGAACAGACGAGGAGCUUGCUCCUCUGACGUUAGCGGCGGACGGGUGAGUAACACGUGGAUAACCUACCUAUAAGACUGGGAUAACUUCGGGAAACCGGAGCUAAUACCGGAUAAUAUAUUGAACCGCAUGGUUCAAUAGUGAAAGACGGUUUUGCUGUCACUUAUAGAUGGAUCCGCGCCGCAUUAGCUAGUUGGUAAGGUAACGGCUUACCAAGGCAACGAUGCGUAGCCGACCUGAGAGGGUGAUCGGCCACACUGGAACUGAGACACGGUCCAGACUCCUACGGAGGGCAGCGGUAGGGAAUCUUCCGCAAUGGGCGAAAGCCUGACGGAGCAACGCCGCGUGAGUGAUGAAGGUCUUCGGAUCGUAAAACUCUGUUAUUGUGGAAGAACAAAUGUGUAAGUAACUAUGCACGUCUUGACGGUACCUAAUCAGAAAGCCACGGCUAACUACGUG